rnacentral:rRNA from 1 species
UAGGGAAUCUUCCGCAAUGGACGCAAGUCUGACGGAGCAACGCCGCGUGAGUGAAGAAGGAUUUCGGUUCGUAAAACUCUGUUGUUAGAGAAGAACAGCGCAUAGAGUAACUGUUAUGCGUGUGACGGUACAUAACCAGAAAGGGACGGCUAACUACGUGCCAGCAGCCGCGGUAAUACGUAGGUCCCGAGCGUUGUCCGGAUUUAUUGGGCGUAAAGCGAGCGCAGGCGGUUAGAUAAGUCUGAAGUUAAAGGCAGUGGCUCAACCAUUGUAGGCUUUGGAAACUGUUUAACUUGAGUGCAGAAGGGGAGGGUGGAAUUCCAUGUGUAGCGGUGAAAUGCGUAGAUAUAUGGAGGAACACCGGUGGCGAAAGCGGCUCUCUGGUCUGUAACUGACGCUGAGGCUCGAAAGCGUGGGGAGCGAACAGG